rnacentral:rRNA from 1 species
AGAACGAACGCUGGCGGCAUGCCUAAUACAUGCAAGUCGAACGAACUCUUCGGAGUUAGUGGCGCACGGGUGCGUAACGCGUGGGAAUCUGCCCCUUGGUUCGGAAUAACAGUUGGAAACGACUGCUAAUACCGGAUGAUGACGAAAGUCCAAAGAUUUAUCGCCAAGGGAUGAGCCCGCGUAGGAUUAGCUAGUUGGUGAGGUAAAGGCUCACCAAGGCGACGAUCCUUAGCUGGUCUGAGAGGAUGAUCAGCCACACUGGGACUGAGACACGGCCCAGACUCCUACGGGAGGCAGCAGUAGGGAAUAUGGACAAUGGGCGAAAGCUGAUCCAGCAAUGCCGCGUGAGUGAUGAAGCCUAGGUUGUAAAGCUCUUUACCGAGAUGAUAAUGACAGUAUCGGGAGAAUAAGCCCGGCUAAACUCCGUGCCCAGCAGCCGC